rnacentral:rRNA from 1 species
GANCGAGCGACGCCGCGNUGAAGGAUGAAGGCCCUCGGGUCGUAAACUUCUAAAAGAGGGACGAUAGUGACGGUACCUCUUGAAAAGCACCGGCUAACUCCGUGCCAGCAGCCGCGGUAAUACGGAGGGUGCNAGCGUUAUCCGGAAUCACUGGGCGUAAAGGGCGCGUAGGCGGUCUGUUAAGUCCGAUGUUAAAGACUGGGGCUCAACCCCAGCAUUGCGUUGGAUACUGGCAGGCUUGACGGUUGGAGAGGCGAGUGGAAUUACCAGUGUAGCGGUGAAAUGCGUAGAUACUGGUAGGAACACCCAUUGCGAAGGCAGCUCGCUGGACAACACGUGACGCUGAGGCGCGAAAGUGUGGGGAGCAAACCGGAUUAGAUACCCGGGUAGUCCACACCCUAAACGAUGCACACUUGGUGUUGGCCCGUUGGGGUCAGCGCCGGAGCUAACGCGUUAAGUGUGCCGCCUGGGAAGUACGGCCGCAAGGUUG